rfam:Vitis vinifera, whole genome shotgun sequence of line PN40024, unoriented chromosome 8, chr8
GACCGCAUAGUACAAUAGAUUAGCACAUCGGACUUCAGAUCAGAAGGUUGUGGGUUUGACUCCCACUGUGGUCA